GCGACUGAUGUGACUUGAUGUUGAUCACCACAUUUACACUGUUGUGACUUGAUGUUGAUCGCCUACUCAAGUGAGUGUUGGAUCCUUUGCACCGUGUUUUUAGGUUACUAUGCUAACUGGUAACAUUGGCAAAAACUCCAAGAACAAGAUAAAACUACUAACUGGUUACCAUUAAAACAUAAAAAGAACAAGUUCGACAACCGAAACAAAAGACCAGUUCAUUCAAUUGACAACAUUUACAUAUAAACUAGUUCGUGUGUCCCUUCCGCUCCUUCUCCGCCGCCG
rnacentral:lncRNA from 1 species